CCCAUCGUCGCCCGGAUUUGGCCGGGGUAGGCCGUCAUUCUGUGCAGUGCCACUGCAGGAAAGGGGGCUGGAUAAGCAUGAGACCAUCUCCCACUCUACCCUCUUGAGACAUGUCCCAUGCUAAUUGAGGAACUGUUCUGCAUUACAUGCAACUGAACAACCCCCAAAGCUUGGCUCCGCCCCCAGCUUCUGGCCCAGCCUAUGAAAGCUCUGCUGUUAGAUGAAAUGGUUCAAAUGAUUAGCCCCUCUAUAUUACCACUGUAUAACAAUGAAUGCUAUUAAAUAAUACAACAAAAAUA